rnacentral:rRNA from 1 species
AUUGAACGCUGGCGGCAUGCCUUACACAUGCAAGUCGAACGGCAGCACGGGGCAACCUGGUGGCGAGUGGCGAACGGGUGAGUAAUGCAUCGGAACGUACCUUUCAGUGGGGGAUAACGUAGCGAAAGUUACGCUAAUACCGCAUAUUCUGUGAGCAGGAAAGCAGGGGAUCGCAAGACCUUGCGCUGAUUGAGCGGCCGAUGUCAGAUUAGCUAGUGGGUGAGGUAAAGGCUCACCAAGGCGACGAUCUGUAGCGGGUCUGAGAGGAUGAUCCGCCACACUGGAACUGAGACACGGUCCAGACUCCUACGGGAGGCAGCAGUGGGGAAUUUUGGACAAUGGGGGCAACCCUGAUCCAGCCAUGCCGCGUGAGUGAAGAAGGCCUUCGGGUUGUAAAGCUCUUUCGGCCGGGAAGAAAUCGCACGGGCUAAUACCCUGUGUGGAUGACGGUACUGGAAUAAGAAGCACCGGCUAACUACGUGCCAGCCGCCGCAGUAAUAC